CACGUAGGGGGCGAGCGUUGUCCGGAUUUAUUGGGCGUAAAGAGCUCGUAGGCGGUUCCGUCAGUCGGGUGUGAAAACUCUGGGCUCAACCCAGAGACGCCACCCGAUACUGCGGUGACUAGAGUCCGGUAGGGGAGUGCGGAAUUCCUGGUGUAGCGGUGAAAUGCGCAGAUAUCAGGAGGAACACCGAUGGCGAAGGCAAGUCUCUGGGCAUUAACUGACGCUGAGGAGCGAAAGCUUGGGGAGCGAACAGG
rnacentral:rRNA from 1 species